rnacentral:lncRNA from 1 species
GGGAAGUCUGAGGAAAAGCAUAAGAAGAGAAGAACCCAGGAAGAAGCAAACACAUUGAAAACGAAGCAAAGAUUCAGAAACUUAAAAUGAGCUUGUAGAAUAGAUAUGGAGGGUUCAUCAUCGUCUUCUUCGUCGCCUUCACUGAUGUCCAAAGCGGAUGGCGAGUUGGAGGAAAUGCUCGAUCGGAUGGCGAGUUGGCGAGUCCAAAUCGGAUGGCGAGUUGGCGAAUCCAAAUCGGAUGGCGAGUCGCCUUCACUGAUGUACAAAUCGGAUGCUCGAUCGGAUCGACUCCAAGCUCGAAGCCCCAGUCUCGAAGCUCCCUCCCCUUACCAUAUCAUCUCUCUCCUCCCAAUCUCCCGCUGUUCGCAACAAGGCAAUUUGCUCUUCUACUGAAUUUAGUGUUUGAUGAUUUAAAAUCAAA